UGGUAGUGGAGGAGACCUUGCGUAUCGUCAUUGGUUCCACAGAGGCAGUCUGUAAUCUGUACGACGCGUCCAAGAAACAAAAAGAUGUGAUUUUAAGAGAGCGAUGACCUCUCUUUCUUCACACCUGGCUCAGGCAGUCUCCUGGGAAAGAAGCAGCUGUGUGGAUGAGGCAGCUAGUGAACAAUCUGAUCUGCCAUGAGAUGCUGACAAGCCCAAAGACCAAGCAGCAUUGUUCCAGGAGAUACAGGCUGCCCCAGUCAUGAUUCCUUCCUCUUCCUUAUCACACUUACUCGUCACCUUAUAAUCAUGAAGAGGACAAAUGAUCCUGAUCUAUUUCUACAAAGGCAGAUCCUGUUCUGGCAUCUGAACAGCUGAGUAGGAGGUAUGUAUAUAUUUAAAGACAAGAUGCUAUGCAUACAGAGCAGAUUCUUAUUUGGUUCUUAUACUGGUUUAUAUUCAGCUCUAAAUGCAGUUCAGAUGAUAUUUUCCAAACCAUUUACUUCUCUCCAUUUAGUUCAUCAAAGUUAUUCAAAUCUGGAUUUUAAACCUGUGUUUCUACAAAGUUGACUGGAAGCAGAUUUCAUUUACCUAAUGUAAAGGUUAGACUCAGCACACAGAUUAAGAUACCUAAAUUUAGGUGUCUGCACGUAGGUGUUUACAUGUGAGCUAGCUGUCGUAGCUCCCAUCGCGGUCAGAGGAGGCACCUAUGGUUGGUUAGCUUGAUAGCGCUCAAGAUUCAUUGACUACUGAUCAGAUCACCAUUAGCUGUAAAGGAAGCUUAGACACCUAACUCGCAUCUUGAAAACACAUACUGUUAAGUGUCUCAAACUGCAAACUGAACCUGAUCUCAGGCAUUUAUAAAAUAGACGUCAAAAGCUGAGCAAGUACUUAUUGAGUAAUUUCCCAGUAUAAUCAAUGAAGAGCUGGUCAGUGGAGCUUAGGGUGUGAUUAAUCCAAUCAACUGUAAGUGUCUGUUUUAUAACGAGCUGAACCCUAAACUCCUUUGACUAGCCCUCCAGCAAGCAGAAUGGGAGCCUAGACACCUAGUUUAUGUAUAGGCACAUUGUAGACACCUAAGGUUAAGAUCAAUCCUGCCCUAUGUGGCUACUACAUGAGGAGAUCCUCUUGUCUGACUUCUUGCAUGAAACAGGCUGUAGAACUGAGCUCAGCAGUCUCUGGAUAAGCAGUCUCACAAAAAAGGUGGUUAGGUACACUUGCGACCCCACUCAUCUAUGGCUUGCCCGGAGACUCUGCACAUACCAGGCUUUUCCCAGCUCUUCCACAAAGUCUAGACAAGGAGAAAAAAGAUUCCUUUAUGCACAAUAAAGGCAGGGGGUCACCGACGAUUCCUUCUUGGGUGUGACUGAUGCAGGACACAACAUGAUUACACCUUUCUGGCUCAAUGUAGAUGUUUCAGACAAAAUUAUCAAGAAAAGGCUGAUGCAGCUUGUGUGACAGAUUUUCAUGAUUGUAUGGAAAGUCCGAGAUGUAUUUGAAGUGACAAAUUAUGUGUCAUUUAAUUAGCUGAUACAGUGGAUAUGUUGGCCCUGCCAGAGGGUACUUCUAAACUCUUUGUACCAACUAAUUUUAGUUGAGAGACAGUACAAUGAACUUAGUCCAUUUUCUGCAUUUUUCCCAAAUGCAGAUUUCACCCUUUAUCUUAACUGAAGAGGGAGCAGCACCUUAUAUUUUCCAUUAUCUCCUCUGCUUCUAAUUAAAAUUCAACUAUGGGUCAAAUCCUUGGCUGGAAAGAGUGUAUACAGACCAGGAUCUGCCUUGUAUAAAAAAGUUACAAAAACAGGAUGUGUUUUAUUUGACUGGAGUGAACUUAAUGGUCAGGGGUCAUUUUCAUUUAAGACAUUUUUUCUCAUGGUUUUCAAAUGUAUUUUGUUUCUUAAAUGACAGCAAAAA